rnacentral:rRNA from 1 species
UAAUUAAGCAAAGGAAAAGAAAACAACAAAGAUUUGUGGAGUAACGGCGAGUGAAUCACAAAUAGCCUGAAAUGAUAAUCAACAUCUGUUGAGUUGUGCAUUGAUCUCUUUAUUCAUCUACGGGCAAAGUCUUCCGGAAAGAAGCAGCAUUGAAUGUAAAACUCCUGCUUGCCGUCAAGUGAAAAGAGAGGUUGGAGAAUUGAGUUGUUUGGGAUUGUAGCUCUAAUUUGGUGGUAAAUUCCAUCUAAUGCUAAAUAAAUAUGAGAGACCAAUAGUGCAAAAGUACCAUGAGGGAAAGAUGCAAAGUCACGCGAAAGCGCUGUCAAAGAGCACCUGAAAUUGCUGAAAAGGAAGCCAAGAAAACCAGUGAUUCCAUGUCUGCAUAUUUUUGGUCGUUUACGACCGGGAUACUGCAACUGGUACUGUUUUGUAACAAUGCCCUCUACUCACUGAACGGCUGUUCAAGAGCGCUGUUGUAUCGAACAAAAUGGUUUUCUUUUUCCCG